GUGGUUUGCUAGGGUGCUUUGAGGAUUCAGAGAAGGGAAAGUUCUUCGUUAAACAUUACACAGGAUAUAUGUGACGCAGCUAGCCUUGCAUUAAGAAAAUUUGAUUUGUGAAGUAGGAUUUGGAAAAGAUUUGUGAACUGGCUUGAGAGUCACAGCUUUCCAUUUGUCACCAGAGGGCUGGUUUUCAAUAUAUAAAACAGGAAAUCACACUUCUUUUGAUAAAAAAGAAAAAGAAAAAGAUGUUUGUUAAGGUGUUUGUACAGGUAUCUUAGUGUAUAUCUUGCCCUUUGUUAAUAUAUAUACAUCUCUCUCUUUCCUGAUUCCAUCCACCUUUAUUUUGUCUUUAAAGAUAUUCUAUAGAGUAGUUGCAGACAUUGCGCCGGGAGAGGAGCUUCUGCUGUUCAUGAAGAGCGAAGACUAUCCCCAUGAAACUAUGGCGCCGGAUAUCCACGGUUAGUACCACUCAC
rnacentral:lncRNA from 1 species